rnacentral:rRNA from 1 species
CGGAGGCAGCAGUGGGGAAUAUUGGUCAAUGGACGCAAGUCUGAACCAGCCAUGCCGCGUGAAGGAUUAAGGUCCUCUGGAUUGUAAACUUCUUUUAUCUGGGACGAAAAAAGGCGAUUCUUCGUCACUUGACGGUACCAGAUGAAUAAGCACCGGCUAACUCCGUGCCAGCAGCCGCGGUAAUACGGAGGGUGCAAGCGUUAUCCGGAUUCACUGGGUUUAAAGGGUGCGUAGGCGGGCAGGUAAGUCAGUGGUGAAAUCCUUGAGCUUAACUCGAGAACUGCCAUUGAUACUAUCUGUCUUGAAUAUUGUGGAGGUAAGCGGAAUAUGUCAUGUAGCGGUGAAAUGCUUAGAUAUGACAUAGAACACCUAUUGCGAAGGCAGCUUACUACGCAUAUAUUGACGCUGAGGCACGAAAGCGUGGGGAUCAAACAGGAUUAGAUACCCCGGU